rnacentral:piRNA from 1 species
UCAGCUCUGAGAAGCCUUUGAGAAGGUGUGU